rnacentral:rRNA from 1 species
UACGGAGGGUGCAAGCGUUGCUCGGAAUUACUGGGCGUAAAGCGCCUGUAGGCGGGAACGUGCGUCGGACGUGAAAGGCGGGGGCUCAACCCCCGAGCGGCGUUCGAAACGGCGUUUCUUGAGGGUCGGAGAGGAGCGUGGAAUUCCCGGUGUAGCGGUGAAAUGCGUAGAGAUCGGGAGGAACACCCAUGGCGAAGGCAGCGCUCUGGUCGGCAUCUGACGCUGAGAGGCGAAAGCGUGGGGAGCGAACGGG